rfam:Triticum aestivum genome assembly, contig: Triticum_aestivum_CS42_TGACv1_scaffold_061236_1DL
AGGGAUGUACGCAACUUGGUAGCGUGUUUGCUUUGGGUAUAAAAUGUCACAGGUUCAAGUCCUAUCAUCCAUG